rnacentral:lncRNA from 1 species
UUCCACUUUCUUGACAAAUUUGUGCAAAAUGUUUUCAGGUACUCAACCUAUUGAUGCACAUGGACAUGAUGACUCUUUAGCGUUUAUGGAGCAACCAACCUGUAAUCAUGGACCUUAUUGUCUUGUAGACCAUUUGGUGUUUCGAGUGUUUUGAAGCUUGCACUUUGUGCAUGUAGAUACAAACUUGUGUGUUCUGGACCAUCUGAAGUCUCUCAUAGUAACCAAUAGUCCUUAUAUUUUUGCGACUUGUGUGUUCUAGAUGAUUGUUAAGAUGGUCAAAACUAUGCUUCCUCUAGGUUAAUUUGUUUGUCAACUUGCGUC